rnacentral:piRNA from 1 species
UGGGAACCGUCUAUGGAAUCCCUCAGACAA